GAACUCGGAGAUAGCUGGUUCUCCCCGAAAUAGCUUUAGGGCUAGCCUCGAUUUAGAUUAUUGGGGGUAGAGCACUGAAUGGGCUAGGGGGCCACAAAGCUUACUGAACCCUAUCAAACUGCGAAUACCAAUUAAUUGAUGAUCGGGAGUCAGACAGUGAGAGAUAAGUUCCAUUGUCGAAAGGGAAACAGCCCAGAUCCACGACUAAGGUCCCAAAAUACACGUUAAGUGGAAAAGGAUGUGCAGUUGCACAGACAACCAGGAUGUUGGCUUAGAAGCAGCCACUCAUUCAAAGAGUGCGUAAUAGCUCACUGGUCGAGUGAAUGUGCGCCGAAAAUAUACCGGGGCUAAACGUGAUACCGAAGUCUGGGGAUCAAGAAAUUGAUCGGUAGGGGAGCAACGCAUACGGACAGAAGCAGAAGCGGGAGCGACUGUGGACUGUAUGGGAGAGAGAAUGCCGGCAUGAGUAGCGAGAGCAAAGUGAGAAUCUUUGCCGUCGAAAGCCUAAGGUUUCCUGAGGAAGGCUCGUCCUCUCAGGGUAAGUCGGGACCUAAGCCGAGGACAAGAGUCGUAGGCGAUGGACAACAGGUUGAUAUUCCUGUACCGUACUUAAGCGUUUGACUGAAGCAGUGACACAGAAGGAUAGACAGACCGGGGGAAUGGUAGACUCCGGCCAAGCAGUGAGGCUGACAUGUAGUGAAGUACGCAUGUUAAGGCUGGGCUGUGAUGGGGACUGAAGAUUAGUAAGGAAGCUGUUGAAUUCACACUGGCGAGAAAAGCUGCUAAGGAGCGAGAGUAUGCCCGUACCGCAAACCGACACAGGUAGGCGAGGAGAGAAUCCUAAGACGAGCGGGAGAACCCUUGUUAAGGAACUCGGCAAAAUGACUCCGUAACUUAGGGAGAAGGAGUGCCUCGAGAGAGGCCGCAGAGAAUAGGCCCAAGCGACUGUUUACCAAAAACACAGGUCUGUGCGAAGUAGAGAUACGACGUAUACGGGCUGACGCCUGCCCAGUGCCGGAAGGUUAAGGGGAAGUGUUAGGGCAACCGAAGCACGGAACUUAAGCCCCGGUGAACGGCGGCCGUAACUAUAACGGUCCUAAGGUAGCGAAAUUCCUUGUCGGGUAAGUUCCGACCCGCACGAAUGGCGUAACGACUUGGGCACUGUCUCAACAAGGGACCCGGCGAAAUUGUAGUAUGUGUGAAGAUGCACAUUACCCGCGAUAGGACGGAAAGACCCCGUAGAGCUUUACUGUAGUUUAACAUUGGAUUUUGAUAACACAUGUACAGGAUAGGUGGGAGGCUGAGAAACCGGCACGCCAGUGCCGAUGGAGCCGCUGUUGGGAUACCACUCUUGUGUUAUUGGAGUUCUAACGAAGUGCCGUAAACCGGGCUUCGGACAGUGUUAGAUGGGCAGUUUGACUGGGGCGGUCGCCUCCGAAAGAGUAACGGAGGCGUCCAAAGGUUCCCUCAGAAUGGUUGGAAACCAUUCGCAGAGUGCAAAGGCAGAAGGGAGCUUGACUGCGAGACCGACAGGUCGAGCAGGUACGAAAGUAGGGCUUAGUGAUCCGGCGGUAUGAGAGUGGAAUUGCCGUCGCUCAACGGAUAAAAGCUACCUCGGGGAUAACAGGCUGAUCUCCCCCAAGAGUUCACAUCGACGGGGAGGUUUGGCACCUCGAUGUCGGCUCGUCGCAUCCUGGGGCUGGAG
rnacentral:rRNA from 1 species